UAGGGAAUCUUCGGCAAUGGGGGGAACCCUGACCGAGCAACGCCGCGUGAGUGAAGAAGGUUUUCGGAUCGUAAAGCUCUGUUGUUAAGGAAGAACGAGUGUGAGAAUGGAAAGUUCAUGCUGUGACGGUACUUAACCAGAAAGGGACGGCUAACUACGUGCCAGCAGCCGCGGUAAUACGUAGGUCCCGAGCGUUGUCCGGAUUUAUUGGGCGUAAAGCGAGCGCAGGCGGUUAGAUAAGUCUGAAGUUAAAGGCAGUGGCUCAACCAUUGUAGGCUUUGGAAACUGUUUAACUUGAGGGCAGAAGGGGAGAGUGGAAUUCCAUGUGUAGCGGUGAAAUGCGUAGAUAUAUGGAGGAACACCGGUGGCGAAAGCGGCUCUCUGGUCUGUAACUGACGCUGAGGCUCGAAAGCGUGGGGAGCGAACAGG
rnacentral:rRNA from 1 species